GUUUGCGAAACCUGCAACAGCGAAGAGACUUUGACACUAAUGACAGAUGAAAGCGUGUGUGCAGCAGUGCGUUGCCUUGUGUUUGUGUAAUUUACAAUAUAAUAACGGCACGCGAUUGGUUCAGAGUGACAAUCUAUUUGAAUUGCGCUCAAAUUUCAUUGGUUCCUGUGGACAACUGGGAAAAUUUUCCACGUGGAACCGAGAUAGACGGUGAUUUUAUUUACUUCAGGUUUCAGAACCUAACACCAAUUUUGACUGCCCUUUCGCAAGUCUAUUAUCAAAGUUUUGUUUCAUUUCACUAAAACAAACAUUAGAGAUCUCAAGGCUUGAACGAAAAUGAAAUUUUCGUCGUAAAUGAAGCAUCUCUGGUCACAAUCGGUGUGCCACGAUUGGUCAGAGAACACUUACUUUAGAGGGUUCGCUUUCCAGUCUUCUAUACUGGAAUAGAUAGAUAUUCAGUUUGUGGAAAUUGAGCAACAGCUAUGGGCGUAUUAUAUUCCAAUUUAAACCAAAUUAGAAACCGCAGGAAUAAAUUUUUACAAGGUUCACUGAAGGGUAAACGACAAAUCAAGGUCUACAAGGGUUUGUUUUGACUUAAAGCUAGUUUACUGGUUUGAAUUUCAGGUUUUUCCUUUCGGUGACUUUUUGAUCGGGGUUGUUUUUCCCUGAAAUAGCAUAAGUAUCUAUAUCCUUCUAAGGUUACCGGAGUUACUCUCGUCACAUCGACGCAUGUAUUGUUUCGAUUUGAAAGCCGCAUUCUCCAAGUUAUAAUAUUGUUUUUGAACAAUGCAGCUCAGUCAUCCCUGUAUCAAGACUGGAAUAAAGAAUCUCCGAGCUGUCAAACGCUGAAUAAAUACUAGCUUGUCAAAUUAAGCGAUGGGAAAAAAAUUAUAGGAAAUAAUGUCGUUUUGGUUUCCUGAUCACACAUUUAGUUCCCUUUUUGCCUUUAUGAUUUGAAGAUAAAACAGCCUAUUUGGUUCUGAUAUUCGGUCGGACGAGACCUAUUCCAAUAGAAUAUACAAAUCCCGCAGGCUAUGUCCUUGCUAGCGUCACUUAGAAACCGCCUACGCACGUUCGAGCCUCUUUAAACUUGCUAUGCAUUUAACUUGGGUCACUUAAAAAUAUAGUUCAAAGUUCUCAAAUCUCGGCCACAAAAAAAUCUAAGAGCUUAUUUUCCCUUCGUAAAUACAAUAUAGGGUACUUUGAUUCUAAGCUCGUUGAGAUCUUUUUUUCACUUUCUAAUUCCAAGCGACCAAAAGUUGUAUGAACAAUGGCAAUUAAAAUUUCACUUGUUACUAGCUAAUAAAGCGACCUAUUAUCAAAAAACCGAGGUUCUUUUAGCUUUUCCAGUAUAAGAUUCAAUUUCUGGUACUUAUAUGCGACUUUUGUAAAGGUCUAAAAGGACUUAAAAAGAGAAUUGCUUUCCGCGAAAAAUUGCUGCGAAGAAGUGUUAAUUGUUCACCUGAAAUCCGUUGGAAUACAUUUCACCUGUCAGUUGACUAAAUGAGUCGGUAAAAAAAUCCGGAGAAAAAUAUUCCAGAAUAAAAUAGAUAAGUUUAGCCUAUUACUAUCGCUUAAAAUAGAAAAUUGCACCAAGAUCUGUAGGAAAAGAUUUGAAUUUCGAAUCAACUGCUCAGUUUUCAUUCAACCAGUUGGUUUCAGUCGGAGACGGUAGGUACCAGAAGGAGCGAAAACAAAACACUAGGUUGCAAUUUACAUCUCAUUGAACGCCGUGACUUGUAAAUGGCAGCGAAUGUUUGUUCUGAAAAGGUGGCUAGAUCACGGUAAAAAAAAAAUCAGGGAGACUAAAUUAUAAUUUUAAUUUUCCGUCUCAGUUUCGGCGUGUGAACUUAAAUUCUCGGUGGCUAGGAGAACGCUGAGGUUGAGUAUUGUGUCUUGAGUUCGAAAUUUACUCAGUUGUGUUUGCGGUAGACAAAGACAAUCUAAACUACUUUAUGAAGAAAGCAAUUGGCCUGAUAACGUUAAGAGCAUUUUUGUGGGCGGAUAAAGGCGGAAAUUGGUUGGUAAAUUUCGAGCCUUGAGUUUGACACUUUACCCGGUCAUAAGCUUCUUUCUCUGAAGCAAAAAAAAAAAAAAAAAAAAUUUGACAGGAGAAACUGAGCCUGCAGUAACUGUUUUGAUACAGCGGCAAAAAUAAAAUUGUAUGCGUUUAAACCAUGACGCAGCAACAAAUAUGGCGGCAAAGUCUGAAAAACCAUGUGGGUUGACACUAGAUUUACGACCAAUUUCUCCAAAUGAAGACAGCUCAGGAAGCUGUGAAAGUAUUAACGAAGCGCCACCCCAGACCCCCAGUUCUCCCUCGAAAGCCAAACCCGAUAAUGUUGUGUUCCGUCAGUCAAACAGGACGAUCUAUACCGCAGGCCGCCCUCCAUGGUACAAUCUCCAAGGACAGCUUAAAGAACCAUUUGUCAUAGGUUUGUGUGGUGGAAGUGCUUCAGGAAAAACUACUGUUGCCAACAAGAUCAUCGAACAACUUGGAGUUCCAUGGGUCAGCAUGCUCUCACUUGAUUCCUUCUACAAGGUACUGACUCCAGAACAACAUAAAGCAGCACUUAGAAAUGAGUACAACUUUGAUCAUCCAGAUUCUUUUGAUGCUGACCUAGCUGCAAGUGUCUUGAAAAAGUUAAAAGAAGGAAAGAGUGUUCAGGUGCCCAUUUAUGACUUCAAAACUCAUGGUAGACUGGAACAGAUGACUAAUUUAUAUGGUGCAAAUGUCAUUAUCUUUGAAGGAAUCAUGGCGUUUGCGUACAAAGAGUUGCGAGAUUUGAUGGAUAUGAAGGUUUUUGUUGAUGCUGAUCCUGAUGUUCGCUUGGCAAGACGACUGAAAAGAGACAUCUCUGAACGAGAGAGGGACCUUGUUGGUGUCUUGCAGCAGUACAACACUUUUGUGAAACCUGCUUUUGAUCAGCACAUAGCACCAACUGUUGUGUUUGCUGACAUUGUUGUCCCAAGAGGUGGUGAAAAUAAUGUUGCUAUUGAUCUGAUUGUGCGCCAUGUCAGAACACAGCUGGAACAGAGAGGAUUUAAUUUCAGAGCACAGCUUCGGUCGUUUCAUCAAGGACAGCCACUUCCCAGUUCACUUAGUAUUUUAGAAAGUACACCACAAGUCAGAGGAUUACAUGCAAUUAUUAGGAAUGAAGAGGCUAGUCGAGAUGACUUUAUCUUUUAUUCCAAGAGACUGAUGAGAAUUCUCAUUGAACAUGCACUUUCACUUCUACCUUUCAAAAAGCAUGUUGUAACAACAAUGGAAGGCAAAAUUUAUGAAGGAAGAAAAUUUGCAGGCAAAAGGCUGUGUGGUGUAUCAAUACUGAGGGCAGGUGAAACAAUGGAACCAGCCUUAGAAUCUCUGUGUAAAGAUGUCAGAAUAGGAAAGAUUCUCAUUCAAACGAAUGAAAUGACAUCAGAACCCGAGCUACAUUAUCAUCGUCUUCCAAAGGGCAUAAGUGAAGAUCAUGUGAUACUUAUGGACGCUACUGUGGCAACAGGUGCAGCAGCGCUCAUGGCCAUCCGAGUUUUAUUGGACCAUGAUGUUAAAGAGGAGAAUAUUCUGUUCUUGUCUUUGAUAACUGCUGAACCAGGGGAGAAACAGAUGUAACGAAAAACUGUCAUUCAAUAGAUCCGGGAAACGGAUUCUGAAAACUCUGUACAGCCUUUUGAAGCCAGGCCUAAAAACAGGUGUUCACACGAUAGCUUAUGCAUACCCAAAGGUUAAGAUAGUCACGGCAGCAGUGGACCCAGAGGUCAACGAUAAAUAUCACAUC
rnacentral:misc_RNA from 1 species